rnacentral:misc_RNA from 1 species
GAAACUUGCAUGUAUAUCUUUUGCCUUCUUUUUCAGAGACAGAUCAAUAGUCUGAGCACAGCUAGUUAUUAUCCAAUCACUUACGUUUGAGGUUUGGUCUCUUUGUAUGAUGCCGGCACGUCUCAUCUCAUGGCAUCACUUAAUUACUCAUCAUGGGAAUGACUAUUACACUCUUUAGAUGCCUAGUUUUUUACUAUAACCUGCAGAGCACUUCGAUUAGAAUGGGUCAUGUGUUGAAUGUCAUUUAGAACUGCCGU